rnacentral:lncRNA from 1 species
UACGAUGGCUAAUAGCACAGCAUCAGAAGGACUGUGGGAUAUUAGGGCUUGGGGCAAUGAGGACGACAUGGCAACCAUAGCAGUAUGACUUGGUUGUUAUUGCGAGGCUUUAUUCGUACAAACAGAUUGAAUAGUCUCAGUUGAAAGAAUUAAAUGCAAAAGCGUGUGGUGCUUCGAUCGGCAAGUGCGGCAGGAACCGGAUUUACAAUCCUUCAUGUGAUGGCCCUUUCGUAGGCAAUUAAGGCAUAAUAAGAGCCGCUUUGCUUCCACAUGACGACAGAGGCGACAGAAGUGUAAGCCAUUGGCAAUUGGCAAUCAUAUGGUUAGUGCCCUCGCAUAACAAACAAGAACCGCGGGCGCUCGAUGCGACGAAAGAUUUUCUAUGAUGCGUACUCACGGUUUUUCCUGACUAGCUAAACUGAUUUUGCACUUGCGUCGAUUGAUCCGCAUUUAACGUGAUCGACAUCUUUUUCCCAAAAAUCCCGACAAUUUUUCCCACGAAAGCAGCUCCUGAUUCAACGGAGUUUCCUCCCACCUGUUCUGAGUGGCCUUUUCCAACUUCUGAAGUACUGUUUGUACACGAAUACAGCCUGCUACUUCUUCCUUACUUGUCAGCGAUUCCAUUGCUCGAAUAUGUGAGGUGACUCUGUCAGUUCCCUCAGCUUGCCCACCGAUGCGUCAGCCUUCUCCAACCCAAAUAUCCCUAUGAUGUGUGCCUGCAAAAUAAAACGCUUAUUAUUAUCAAAGCGACGCUUUUAAAUAUAUAUUGCCACGAUAUAAUUAGCCUCAUUUAUCUCCAACGAGCUGAUGGUAUUGAGGGCUGCGCCACUCAAACAGGAACGUAGAUGCUGCAGCUUUUCGAUAGGGGUCAGCUCGGACUUCUUGUCAAUGAUCGCGGUGAACUUUGAGAAGAAAUUGGCCCACUCCGUGUAAAUUCCACUAAAUUUUGGCAGCUCCAGCUGAGGCAACCGAGAUCGAUUGGCCAUAACGACGAUUUAUUGGGAUGCACUUGAGUUGGGGUUUAUUGUCGAACAGUGCUUGGUGCUGGACCGACUUCCAAACUCGCGCUGAAGAAUGGUCCGCAGGGAUAAUAUGGACGAGUCGAAUUUGGCAGGUACUUCACUGGACAUGGACUCAAAAUCCAUUUCCUCUAAGCUGUUAUGCGCCACAGCAAAAUUAGAUUCCAGUACAGUCAACGAUUGCAACAGUCCUUGCAGAUCAUAUUCAUCUAUUUGGCACAGCUUCUCACUAUCCAUAUCCGUGCGUAUGGAUUCUAGCCUAUCGAAAACAGACCUAGUUUUUAGCUUCAGAAAUGUAGUCCGGGACGCAGGGAAUUGUGUGCUGUGUGCAGCGUUGGCACUAAAACUUCCACCACUUGGAGCAGCUCCAAAUGCCACCGACUCGCUAUGUGUUUCACCAGCCUCAUUUGCCAUAGCACACGAUCCACUUUUUA